rnacentral:rRNA from 1 species
GACGAACGUUGGCGGCGUGCUUAAUACAUGCAAGUCAACUGAAGCAGUGGUAGCAAUAUCGCUGUGGAGGUGGCGCACGGGUGAGUAACACGUAGGUAAUCUGCCUUCAGGUCUGGCAUAACUCCGGGAAACCGGGGCUAAUAGCAGAUGAUGCAGCGGCUCGACAUCGAGACAGUUGUUAAAGCUAUGGCGCCUGAAGAUGAGCCUGCGUCUGAUUAGCUAGUUGGCGGGGUAACGGCCCACCAAGGCAACGAUCAGUAGCUGGUCUGAGAGGAUGAUCAGCCACACUGGAACUGAGACACGGUCCAGACUCCUACGGGAGGCAGCAGUAAGGAAUAUUGCUCAAUGGAGAAAUCCUGAAGCAGCAACGCCGCGUGAGGGACGAAGGGCUUUGGCUUGUAAACCUCUGUAGUGAGAGAAAAAAAUCCCAAUCUUGGGGACAUGAUGGUAUCUCAAAAGUAAGCCCCGGCUAACUACGUG